rnacentral:misc_RNA from 1 species
GUUUUAAAUUUUAAACGUGUUUCCACGCUUUGAUUACAUUCAAUAGACAUACAUUGGUUUGUGUGAUACAUAGGAAGGGCCCGAAGACCCAACCUACAAAAGGUGCACAGGUGGUUGGUUUGGUUUGAGGGCGUGCACAUGCCUUUCGGCCAGCUACAACCCAGUUUAUUCAUUAAUGAUCCUUCCGCAGGUUCACCUACGGAAA